rnacentral:lncRNA from 1 species
AAUUCUAGGUUUUUUUUGGAUAACAGGUAGUUUAGAGUUUCGGGAUUUGUUUAAAAUAGCUAAUAACUGGAUUCCUAAUAAUGAGAUUAACUCCUUGCUUACUAUUUUGUGUGCUUUUUUUAUUAUUCCUUGGUGCAGUUGCGAAAUCGGCACAAUUCCCUCUUCACGUAUGGUUACCCGAUGCUAUGGAAGGACCCACCCCCAUUUCAGCUCUUAUACACGCAGCAACUAUGGUUGCUGCGGGGAUUUUUCUUAUAGCUCGACUUCUUCCUCUUUUCAUAUCCCUACCUUUGAUAAUGAGUUUCAUUUCUUUAAUAAGAUACAGAUUAAUGCUAUGGAAGGACCCACCCCCAUUUCAGCUCUUAUACACGCAGCAACUAUGGUUGCUGCGGGGAUUUUUCUUAUAGCUCGACUUAUUCCUCUUUUCAUAUCCCUACCUUUGAUAAUGAGUUUCAUUUCUUUAAUAA